rnacentral:rRNA from 1 species
AUUGAACGCUGGCGGCAUGCCUUACACAUGCAAGUCGAACGACGCUAGGGGCAACUCUAGCGAGUGGCGUACGGGUGAGUAAUGCAUCGGAACGUGCCCUCUCGUGGGGGAUAACCAGUCGAAAGAUUGGCUAAUACCGCAUGAGCUCGAGAGAGGAAAGCGGGGGAUCCGCAAGGACCUCGCGCGAGAGGAGCGGCCGAUGCCCGAUUAGCUAGUUGGUGGGGUAAAAGCCCACCAAGGCGACGAUCGGUAGCUGGUCUGAGAGGACGACCAGCCACACUGGGACUGAGACACGGCCCAGACUCCUACGGGAGGCAGCAGUGGGGAAUUUUGGACAAUGGGGGCAACCCUGAUCCAGCCAUGCCGCGUGUGUGAAGAAGGCCUUCGGGUUGUAAAGCACUUUCGGACGGAACGAAAUCGCGCGGGUGAACAAUCCGCGUGGAUGACGGUACUGUAAGAAGAAGCACCGGCUAACUACGUGCCAGCCGCCGCGGUAA